GUUGGGUUUAGUCACCGAAUUCAAUCCAAAUUAAAAGUCUCAUCUCAUUCAAAUAACCAAGUAGAAAAAUUUUAGUUGAAACGGCCUCAUUAGUCUCCCGGAUGACAAUCGACUCAUUAGACACCCUGUAUUUAUGUAUCAUAGAAGUCCCUGUGUUAGAAGUAGAAUAUACUUUAACUCUAACAAUAAUAUUAACAAAAGCAAUGAUGCGAAUGUUUAAAGGACAACACAUUCAAAACGUUAACAAGAUACGAAGAAUCGCAUACGAAUUUCAAAAUCGAUGGCGAAGAUUUGACAUCUUUUCGUUUUC